UCCUUUGGUUUUGGGGGUUAAAACAUUUUUAGUCUAAAUUAUACAUGCUUGUUAAUUGCGCAUAGGUGAGGUUGAAAAAAAACUAUUGUUUUUUUUUUUGUAUUAGGAAAAAAGAUGUUUUUUUCUUUUAUCCAAAAAUGCAUGGUAAGACCACAUUUUCACUGAAACAAGGGAAGAUUUUACAGCAGUAAAGAAUUUUAUGUAAUAUACGGAAGUAAGACAUAGUUAGGAUAUUUUUCCCUGUCAAAUUAAGUGCCAGCAGACGCGGUGAAACUUAAGGGGUUUUGUUUUUAGAAAAAGCAGAAAGCGUGUAAAAGCAAAGAGAUACUUAAAAUAAAUAGAAUUUUUUUAGUAGGAGUAAAAUGUCAUCAUAAGAAAAAGAAUUUUAUAUGUGAAAAUAAUUUAUUUUUUUUUUCUUAAACACGAAGGUUUUGGGAGUAAACAGGAUUAGAGACCCUGGUAAUCAAUACAGAAAAAAAAAAUCGCUUGAGUAGUACGGUCGCAAGAUUAAAAUUCAAAAAAUUUGACUGUUCAUUGUUAUUUAGAGGAGCGUGUUGCUUAAUUCGAUAGUCCGCGAGUUACCUUACCAAAACUAGAUUCCAAGUUGGUUCUGGUGUUGCAUGGCCGUCGUCAAUUUAUGUUUAAUACAAUAAAUUUAAUCCUAAAAAGGUUGAAGUCAGGUAUUAUUGCCCUUAUGUUUUGGGGUUUGAUGCGCUACAUUUUUUUAAUAAAAAAAAGAGAGUCCGGAUUGGCCCCGAACGGGGCCAAUUAAGUUGGAUUUAAUAGUAAUUGAAAAGUAGAGCGUUUCAAUGAAUUUAACGCAAUGUUAGUACAAAUAGCCCGUCGCCUUUGCUAAGGAAAACAAAGCAGAGUAAGUCGUAACAUGGUGAGGGUGAGGGAACUGGCCCUUG
rnacentral:rRNA from 1 species